UGUAGUCCGAGCCUGACCGGCCUGUAGGCCCCGCUAUAGAAGGCAGGCCGGUGUGACCGGAGGAGCGUCUAUCCAGCCCAUAUGUGAAGGGUGUCAUAUAAACCGCAUACAGGGGUCUCCUCAUCCGGGCAUUUACCUCACAGUCACCUCAUUACACAAGCCGCCAUCUUGGCUGGAAGCUGACUGGACACUGCUGGGCGGACGUGUCCUACUGGUAUAAUGGGACGUUGUUAGAGAACUAAACUGAGAAUGUGGAAAAUCAAGGAACUAAACAGAAAGGACGUGAUCUGAAGUAGAUGUGACGCCAACAGGCACAUUUACACACCCGACUGAGCAGGCAAUGACCAGGAAGGAACCGAACCUUCCCGAUGAUUGCCUGCUCAUCACAGGACGGGAAUAUUCUGGUGGAAAUAUUAAAGCG